GAUGAACGCUAGCGGCAGGCUUAAUACAUGCAAGUCGAGGGGCAGCGCGGGUAGCAAUACCUGGCGGCGACCGGCAAACGGGUGCGGAACACGUACGCAACCUUCCCAAAACUGGGGAAUAGCCCUCCGAAAGGAGGAUUAAUACCCCGUAACAUAACGAAGUGGCAUCACUUUGUUAUUAUAGUUCCGACGGUUUUGGAUGGGCGUGCGCCUGAUUAGGUAGUUGGCGGGGUAACGGCCCACCAAGCCUACGAUCAGUAACUGGUGUGAGAGCACGACCAGUCACACGGGCACUGAGACACGGGCCCGACUCCUACGGGAGGCAGCAGUAAGGAAUAUUGGUCAAUGGACGCAAGUCUGAACCAGCCAUGCCGCGUGAAGGAUGAAGGUCCUCUGGAUUGUAAACUUCUUUAUAUGGGACGAAAAAAGGGCAUUCUUGCUCACUUGACGGUACCAUAGGAAUAAGCACCGGCUAAACUCCGUGCCAGCAGCCGCGGU
rnacentral:rRNA from 1 species